GCCGAUGCAGCACUGCCGGGGGGGGCAGCGGACGGUGCUGGGCCCCCCCCCCACCUCCGUGCCCCCCCCCAGGCUGCCCCGCACGCUGGGGUGCUUGUAGGACACGCAGCUCAGGUUGUGCCCGGUGGCACCUAGGGGACAUCGCGGGGGGUGGGGGGGACACGGGGAUGGUGAUGGUGGUUCCCAGCCCCCUCCCCCCCAAAAAAUCCCCCCCCCAACCCCCUGGGGUGCAGGGCGGGGGGGUCAGCACCCACCUGGUGGCCCCGGCGCCAGCCCCAUGGGUGCCUCCGGCCGCAGGCAGGGAGCUGGCAGGAUGCGUGCGGGGGCUGCGGAGCGCCGGGACGGAGGAGGAGGAGGAUGAGGAGGAGGAGGAGGACGAAGGCUCGGGGCCGGGGGGGGGACAGGGCAGCCUCCGCGGUGGGGAGGAGCGGGGACUGGGGGCUGGCCAACCCCCCCCGCCCCCCCGGGCUGGCCCCCAGCGUUUAUCUGGGGGUGGCAAAGGGGGGGCUCCCCGCGCCGCUCCCUGCCUCAGUUUCCCCUUUGGGGGCUGAAGGGUCCCCAGCGUGGCCCCAGGGGCCCCAAAGCGUCCCCAGGGUGGCCUCAGGCUGUCCCCAUAGUCUUUAAAGUGGCCCCAGGGUCCCCAAAGGUGGCCUCAGGGUGGCCCCAGGGAUCCCAAAGCUGGCCUCAGAGUGGCCCCAUAGUCCCCAGGGUAGCCCCAGGGACCCCAAAGUUGCCUUGGAUUGUCCCCACAGCUCCCAAAGUGGCCCCAGGGUCCCCAAAGGUGGCCUCAGGGUGGCCCCAUAGUCCCCAAGGUGGCCCCAGGGACCCCAAGGUGGCCUCAGGGUGGCCAGCGUGGCCCCAAGGUGGCCCCAAGGACUCCAAGGUAGCCUCAGGCUGUCCCCAUAGUCCUCAAAGUGGCCCCAGGGUCCCCAAAUGUCACCUCAGGGCGGCCCCAGGGAUCCCAAAAUUGGCUUCAGAGCGGCCCCAUAGUCCCCAAGGUAGCCCGAGGCUCCCUAACGUAGCCCCAGGGACCCCAAAGUGGCCUCAGAUUGUCCCCACAGCUCCCAAAGUGGCCCCAGGGUCCACAAAGGUGACCUCAGGGUGUCCACAGGGAUCCCAAAGUUGGCCUCAGAGUGGCCCCAUAGUCCCCAAGGUGGCCCAAGGGUCCCCAAAGGUGGCCUUAGGGUGGCCCCAUAGUCCCCAAGGUAGCCCAAGGGUCCCCAAGGUGGCCCCAGGGACUCCAAGGUAGCCUCAGGUUGUCCCCAUAGUCCUCAAAGUGGCCCCAGGGUCCCCAAAUGUGACCUUAGGGCGGCCCCAGGGAUCCCAAAAUUGGCUUCAGAGUGGCCCCACAGUCCCCAAGGUAGCCCAAGGGUCCCCAAGGUAGCCCAAGGGUCCCCAAGGUGGCCCCAGGGUCCCCAAAGGCGGCCCCAGAUCGUCCCCAGGGUCCCCGAAGCGUCCCCGGCCCCGCGCCCCAAGUGAAGCCCCCGCAGACGGCCCAGACAACGCCAGCGACUCGUGUUUAUUACAAAAGAAGUCGGUCACCCCGGAUUUUUACAAAGGAGCCAAAAAACUACAAUUUUCAUCUAGUCUCUUUGUACAAAAAAAUAGCACUUUGAAAACGGGGGCUCGGGACGGCGGCCACCGGAGUAGAAAAAAGCUCGGCCACGGCCAGAGGGAACAGUCCGGGCACUGGGGGGGUGGGGGGGUUAUUGCCAGCUGCGGGGGGGGCACGGGGCCCGAUCCUGCGCCCACCCCCCCCGUGCCGCCCCCCCCGGCGCGGGUGGUUAAAGCCGGCAGGGCGGCCCCAAACCCCCCGUUUUUUCCCCCAAAA
ensembl:lncRNA